CAGAGAGCCUGCAGUCGCUGGGAGCCGCUCCAGGACACAGCCUGUGCGAGGGAAAAGGUUUGAACAAGAGGAGGAAGAGUAAAGGGCAGCCAGAGUCUUUGGUUUGAGUCCGGAGAGUUUGAGCAAAUAGUUGGUUGCUGGGUGGAGGACAGUGGAGGGGCAGUUACCUGGCUAUGUUUUCUCUCCCUGCUCUACCUUGAGCUCCGAUCAGCCAGAUGUCCAGAGUGGGGACUCACCACUGCAAGGGCCUCUGGCCCUCAGAGCAGCCUCACAGGAAGGACUCAGGGACAUAUGAGCACAACCAUUCAGACCAAGGACUGCGAGCCAGACUGCCUGGGUUGAAAUCCUACCCUGCUACUCACCGGCUGUGCCACUUUGGAUAAAGACACUGGACGAGAGAAUAAUACUAAUAGCUGCCAUGUGCUGAGUGCCCGACAGGCAACUUGCUCAGGGUCACACAGCGGGUCAGUGACAGACCCAGAACUGGAUGCAAUGCCCACCUUCUCCACAGUCCACUUGUUCAAACUUUCAGCAGAUUUAAAGAUUUAAAGAUGCAAGAAAUAACUGGCUAGCAGGCACUCCUCACAGCCCACAAUGUCCAGAAAAGGAACAACGGGUACAAAGGUUAACAACAGGUCAAGAGCACCUACAUCCUCUCUCCUUUUACCUCUAAACACAGAAAGGAAUCAACCCAUGGAGGAAGGACUGUAGUCCUGGGCCAGGUGGUGGAGGAGUAGACAGUGAGCAUCAGACCUUUCCUGGAAUGAAUAGAGUCAAAGGACAACAAAGUACAGGGAAGGAUCUAGAAGCAGAUCUCUGUUUCCUAGGUCAUCAGAAAAUUGGCACUCCUGGGUUUGCUUUUACUAAAGACCUAUGCUGGUGCCUGAUCUCACUAUCCCAAGGAAAUGUGAAGAUGAUUUUUGCUUUUAAGAAAUGGCUUGGAGAAGCCAAACUCCCAAUCAAGGCGGCCUCUGGCCCUGGAAGGAUCCCACCGAACCUGUCUAAAGAGCAUCCUCCUUGCUGAAGGGUAAGAAAAGAGACUGAAGCCCAGUUCAAGAGGUUAAGGAGGGAU